GACGAACGCUGGCGGCGUGCUUAACACAUGCAAGUCGAACGGAAAGGCCCUGCUUUUGUGGGGUGCUCGAGUGGCGAACGGGUGAGUAACACGUGAGUAACCUGCCCUUGACUUUGGGAUAACUUCAGGAAACUGGGGCUAAUACCGGAUAGGAGCUCCUGCUGCAUGGUGGGGGUUGGAAAGUUUCGGCGGUUGGGGAUGGACUCGCGGCUUAUCAGCUUGUUGGUGGGGUAGUGGCUUACCAAGGCUUUGACGGGUAGCCGGCCUGAGAGGGUGACCGGCCACAUUGGGACUGAGAUACGGCCCAGACUCCUACGGGAGGCAGCAGUGGGGAAUAUUGCACAAUGGGCGGAAGCCUGAUGCAGCAACGCCGCGUGCGGGAUGACGGCCUUCGGGUUGUAAACCGCUUUCGCCUGUGACGAAGCGUGAGUGACGGUAAUGGGUAAAGAAGCACCGGCUAACUACGUGCCAGCAGCCGCGGUGAUACGUAGGGUGCGAGCGUUGUCCGGAUUUAUUGGGCGUAAAGGGCUCGUAGGUGGUUGAUCGCGUCGGAAGUGUAAUCUUGGGGCUUAACCCUGAGCGUGCUUUCGAUACGGGUUGACUUGAGGAAAGGUAGGGGAGAAUGGAAUUCCUGGUGGAGCGGUGGAAUGCGCAGAUAUCAGGGGGAACACCAGUGGCGAAGGCGGUUCUCUGGGCCUUUCCUGACGCUGAGGAGCGAAAGCGUGGGGAGCGAACAGGCUUAGAUACCCUGGUAGUCCACGCUGUAAACGGUGGGUACUAGGUGUGGGGUCCAUUCCACGGGUUCCGCGCCGUAGCUAACGCUUUAAGUACCCCGCCUGGGGAGUACGGCCGCAAGGCUAAAACUCAAAGGAAUUGACGGGGCCCCGCACAAGCGGCGGAGCAUGCGGAUUAAUUCGAUGCAACGCGUAGAACCUUACCUGGGUUUGACAUGGAUCGGGAGUGCUCAGAGAUGGGUGUGCCUCUUUUGGGGUCGGUUCACAGGUGGUGCAUGGCUGUCGUCAGCUCGUGUCGUGAGAUGUUGGGUUAAGUCCCGCAACGAGCGCAACCCUUGUUCACUGUUGCCAGCACGUUAUGGUGGGGACUCAGUGGAGACCGCCGGGGUCAACUCGGAGGAAGGUGGGGAUGACGUCAAGUCAUCAUGCCCCUUAUGUCCAGGGCUUCACGCAUGCUACAAUGGCUGGUACAGAGAGUGGCGAGCCUGUGAGGGUGAGCGAAUCUCGGAAAGCCGGUCUCAGUUCGGAUUGGGGUCUGCAACUCGACCUCAUGAGGUCGGAGUUGCUAGUAAUCGCAGAUCAGCAACGCUGCGGUGAAUACGUUCCCGGG
rnacentral:rRNA from 1 species